AAGUUUGUAGCAGUUGUGACUGGUUGAGGAGUAACUCUGGGAGUCAUCUUGCUGGUUUCGGCAGCUUUCUGCAACAGAAGAAAAACUGGUUUGGAAGGAGGGAAAAUGUGUCAGCCUCAAAAUGAGAAUUAUGAUGCAUACCAUAUGUACGCCACCAUCGCUGAGGAGCCAGCCGCAUCAACCCCAAAGGAUAUUGUGUACAGCACCGUGCAGAACCACUGAAAUAAAAACUGUUUUAUAUUGUUUAGAGAAAGAUGAGCAGACAUCUUAAGGAACUGAAAUGUAAACUUUUUGUUUAAAGUUGAGUGGUAUAAUCACGACUAAUGUUUUUUUUUUACAAAAGUUUCACACGUUUUACAGCCGCACGCAAUUUUCAAUUUAAGGUUUAUGAUGUUCAAAGCACAGCAAGGGUUUAAAAUAGCAUUUUAAUGACUUUUUUGUUCUUUAGAUUAAAAUUGAAAAUGCAUUCAGUUGAACUCAUGUAUAACUAAAGCAAACAUUUUGACUGUUUGUUUUGUUUUCUAAAGUCUUUUUUGUUAAGGUUGAUCAUAUUUUCUUCAGUGAUUAUGUACUAUACAUACCUUUACAUGCAUUUACAACUUACUGAUGCUGUAUAUUAACCGUAGCUCACAGUCUCUCAGUCACACCUUACUCUCCAGUGGUGACCACAGAGACAGAUACAUUGAACUGUUAGACUCCAUCAUCUAUUUCUGUCACAGUGUUAGUUCUAAACUUUAAGUGGAGGAAGUAAUGUUUAAACCAAAUUGCUUCACACAAAAGGAGUCACUCAAAUACAUACCUUAGAUACAAAUUCAUACCAUGGUUUUAACACACAAUCGCCCAAUGUUAAGGGAAGACCGUCACAGAGACAAAAUCAAUCAAACCUUUUUGCACGAAAAUAUUUUUUUAAGAUGACUUAAAUGAGAAAUGAAAUGGUUGAAUGUUCAGGAAAAACAUGGGCAAUAACUGCAUGUUUACACAAAUGUAAGUUCAAAAAGUGUAAGUAAGUAAAAUGUAACUUCUAGUACCUACACCCACACACACAGCUGAGUGUGUGUAUCUGCUUAUAUGUAAAUAGCUGAAAAAGAGAU